CUGCUGCCUUCCGUAGGAGUCUGGGCCGUGUCUCAGUCCCAAUGUGGCCGAUCAACCUCUCAGUCCGGCUACCGAUCGUCGCCUUGGUGGGCCGUUGCCCCACCAACUAGCUAAUCGGCCGCGAGCCCAUCUUCCAGCGGAUUGCUCCUUUGGCUGCAUCGGGAUGCCCCAUCGCAGCGUUAUGCGGUAUUAGCAGUCGUUUCCAACUGUUAUCCCCCUCUGAAAGGCAGGUUGCUCA
rnacentral:rRNA from 1 species